GCGAAGUAUAGAAUCGGAGAUAGGUAGCUGUUUUGUGGUAAGACGCCUACCAAAGCGUGGAACCACUGCUGCUGCUUGUCUUUAUUUUUAGUUCUCUGGAAAUAAUUAUCGUGCAGGUACCACCCAGACCCACACGAUAAAAAUAUAAUCGCUCAACGAUUUCCACGCAUUUACAUGACGUAUAUCAUCACGAGGCUGCAUUACCAUUUACCACAGAAGAAGAUAGUUCUAAAUGUUAAACUUAAAACUGUUAAAAGUACAACAACUCUUGUGAUUUACAUUAUUAUUUACCUACUUACAAUGCCGCCAGAACCUUCAAUAAACGUUUUUUUUUUUAGUUACCAACAUGUGGUUUAUAUUUUUAUGUGUCUAUUACCUAUUAAUUCAUAUUUGUUGAAGUAAAAAUAAUCUUUUAAUAAACAGAAAAUUUCUUAAUCGAUAGAUGUUGUGUUAUUAUAAAAUGCCAAAAAUCGCACAUGUAAUGUAAGCGUUGAAAAUUCGAUACAGAAUACAGGGUAUAUUCAACUGCAGUUACGACUACGAGUAUAGGCAUAAAAAUUCAGAAAACGUCAUCAUGACUGGUUGUUUAUCCAAUGAAUUUGAUUGAAAAAUUCAUUAAGAAUAAAAAUGUCUGAAUAAUUCAAAAUUAUGACCAUAAUUCGUAGUUCUGAACGAUGACAAAUUGUCUAUCUUCAAAAUUAAAGGGGCUAACACAGUUUAAAAAUUAAAAAUCUUCGAAAGUUGGAACUCUUCUUUGGAGGUUUUGAGAAUACUUUUUUGUAAAAAAGUAAGUAGGUACUUACUAAAAUUGUGUGCAUUUUUGUUUAUGGAUGGGAUUCGACUCUGACGCUUAUUAUGACCUUGUGGUUUUAAUUUUUUUCCUGAGUAGAUCCCCUCUCCCACCUCCCUCUUAAAGCAAAAUUUGAAUAACAAAAAAAAACACGAAUAUUUUUAUUAAGUGGUGUAAAGAUGUUUCAUUGGUUUAAUUACUUAGCAAUGUAAUAUUGUCCAACUAUCUUUGUCAUUUUUUAUAAAAAUAAUAUAAAGUUGAGAAAUACAUGAUUGAAAAAGAUGCAGUAAAAAUUAACAUUGAUUUAUUAAUUUUGUUCUGAAAAACAUCACAAAAGAAAAAAUUUCUUUCAUUUUUGUAAGGCCUAUACCUAGUAUAGGUAGUAGGUAAUAGGUAUUCGUUAAAUGAGAUGUCCCUUAACUUACAGUGUAUUGUGACUUGAGUAAAUUACUAUUGUAGGUUGGUGCAUCUUCUUCGAUCGGAUUGGGUCCUGGUCCAACAUCUUUAACCUUACUUUGUACAGUUGUAAAAGUACCCUUUAUUUUAUCCAAAGCUUCCCCUAAACCUGUUCUAAUUUGACUGAAUUCUUGAGUAACCAAAGACAAACGACCUAAUAAGUAGUUCAAAUUAUCGUCAACUUCGGUCAUUCUGCUAGUAAUUUGGCCUACUUUACCCUCCAUGUGAUCUAAAGUUUUCAGACUACCAUUUACAUAGAUUUCGGUAUGUUGUUGUAAUUUAUCCAAUGUAUCCGCUGAAUUGGUCAGUGUUUGAUACAUGGUUCCGAUUUGUCUCCAAACUUGACUGAUUUCAGUUUCAAUUUUCGAACUCAAAUUGGCCAACGCACCAUUUUGACUGUUUUGUAUAUCGAAUGAAAUUCCGUCAAAUCGUUUGUUUACACUCGAAUUAAAAUCUUUGUUUUGUUCUUUGAUGAGUUCAGUUACUUCGAGGAGGACUUCGUGAGAUCCGUAUUCUAUCCUUCGUUUUAUAUCCAAUACGUUAUCAG